rnacentral:rRNA from 1 species
UACGAAGGUCCCAAGCGUUAUCCGGAUUUAUUGGGUUUAAAGGGUGCGUAGGCGGCUUAUUAAGUCAGUGGUGAAAGCCUUCAGCUUAACUGAAGAACUGCCAUUGAUACUGAUGAUCUUGAGUAUGAUUGAGGCGGGCGGAAUGUGUCAUGUAGCGGUGAAAUGCUUAGAUAUGACACAGAACACCGAUUGCGAAGGCAGCUCGCUAAGCCAUAACUGACGCUGAUGCACGAAAGCGUGGGGAGCAAACAGG